AACGCACCUUGCGCUCCUUGGUAUUCCGAGGAGCAUGCCUGUUUGAGUGUCAUUAAAUUCUCAACUUUGAAACAGCUUUUUGUUGUAUUCAAGUGUUGGACUUGGGAGCUUUGUUGGCUUUAAUUAGUCGACUCUCCUUAAAUGUAUUAGCUGGUGAAGACUUGCAUUCUUGGGUGUGAUAAUUAUCUACGCCAAAGGGGGUGCUUUUCUGAAGUCACUGCUUCUAAUAGUCCUUUACUGGACAGACAUUUUUUGACUUGGCCUCAAAUCAGGUAGGACUACCCGCUGAACUUAA
rnacentral:misc_RNA from 1 species